rnacentral:lncRNA from 1 species
GUGCAUGCAAAUCACCCAGUUACAGAAGCAAAUAGCAGUCCAGAGAGAAGAAGAGCCGGUUGGGGAAGAAAACAGAGAAGUGUGCCCUUGGCUGAGGACAAGAAUCUGCAUGAUGUUUUCUUUGACCUUGAGAAUGCCUUUUGCUUGCCCUGCAGAGCAGGAGAGGAGCUGGAACUUUCCCGUUUGGCUCUGUCAGCCAAGUGCAGCUUUCAAGUUCUCUAGGGACUGCUGUAUUUUCUCAUGAGUGAGUCAAAUGCUCAAUCUGAGGCCUGGGAGACAGGGUGGAGGAGGGGAGUGGGGAAGGGGACACCAGCAUCUACCUUCGGUUGGGAGAAUUAGGCUGAAGCCUGCCUGGGCUACUGGUAUGUGUCCUUAGGCCACCAACACCAUUAUCAUCUCAAUAAACAGCAUAUGCAGUGUGCUGGGUUGAUAGCGUUUCUCUCAGGUUCCGACUUCAGAUCUCCGGCUCCUCUUUCACUGGACGGAUUCCAAAUACUACAACUCCCUGUGUGACAGCUGGAGAAUCACUGCACCUUUCUGGGCCCCAUUGAGUGACAGAAGAUCGGAAUGGAUAGUCACAUGCCUGCCCCAGCGUGGAAGGAGAAGAGCCUAUACUUCCAUCCAUUCUGGCCUCUUCCAAGUUCCCCUCAUUUUUCUCUCUAAGAUCAAAUAAAUAAACAUGUUGUUAUUCUUUUUAUACAUUUAAUAUAUGCUCAUGAAAGAAAAGUAGCAAGGGCCAGGUGUGGUGGCG